UAAAAAAUUUCACUUCCCUCUCUCUUGCAAGAUUAGUUUUAGAUUUUCCUUCCAAAAUUUCAAUUCCGCCACUCUCUCAAAGCUAAUAUAAGAUCUCUCACCCAAUUUUUCAGUUCUCUCAACUCUAACAAAAUAAUCGAAGAAUAGCUCUCUCUCGGUGUCCUCGUCUCUGACAUCUGCCCAGCCAAACAACCAUCGUUGCAGCGUCAUCGUCUUCGCCACAACGUGCCUAAGUUCGUUGCUUGUUGCUGACUGUCGCACAGAAUCUUAGGCUUCAUUGGACGAUGCUAUAGUGAUGAUGGAGCUUUGUAUUUCGAGAAAAAAGUUGUUGAUGCAUACAAACAUCAUGGACCUCUUGCAACCACAUCUUUAGUCGUUCGAGGGUUGAUAGAAUUUGCUAGUGUUACUUCUGGAAGCUUAAAUGUGCAUGGAGACAUAAAUUUACAUUUUGGUUCCUUAAUUUAUUAAAUAUGAAUUUGGUUUUCAUUUGUAGCUUACUGGCGAUACAAUGUUUGGUCUAACAAAAUUCUUCCUUGGCAUUAGAAUUCCUGGUGAUGCGAAAGACUUAUUUCAACCAAAUAGAUUCCUUGGCUUGCUUGGAGACAAAUAGACAAGUAUUUUAUUGUUAGUGAUAGUGACAGUUGGACUUGGUUGGUCAUAUGAUGAUAAUCUUUUAUCACGAACUUAAGACUUGGAGUUCUUUAUGGAACAUUCUUUUUUAAUAA